GACGAACGCUGGCGGCGUGCUUAACACAUGCAAGUCGAACGGAAAGGCCCUGCUUUUGUGGGGUGCUCGAGUGGCGAACGGGUGAGUAACACGUGAGUAACCUGCCCUUGACUUUGGGAUAACUUCAGGAAACUGGGGCUAAUACCGGAUAGGAGCUCCUGCUGCAUGGUGGGGGUUGGAAAGUUUCGGCGGUUGGGGAUGGACUCGCGGCUUAUCAGCUUGUUGGUGGGGUAGUGGCUUACCAAGGCUUUGACGGGUAGCCGGCCUGAGAGGGUGACCGGCCACAUUGGGACUGAGAUACGGCCCAGACGCCUACGGGAGGCAGCAGUGGGGAAUAUUGCACAAUGGGCGGAAGCCGGAUGCAGCGACGCCGCGUGCGGGAUGACGGCCUUCGGGUAGUAAACCGCUUUCGCCUGUGACGAAGCGGGAGUGACGGUAAUGGGUAAAGAAGCACCGGCUAACUACGUG
rnacentral:rRNA from 1 species